AACGAACGCUGGCGGCAUGCCUAACACAUGCAAGUCGAACGAGACCUUCGGGUCUAGUGGCGCACGAGUGCGUAACGCGUGGGAACCUGCCCUUAGGUUCGGAAUAACUCCCCGAAAGGGGUGCUAAUACCGGAUAAUGUCUUCGGACCAAAGAUUUAUCGCCUUUGGAUGGGCCCGCGUUGGAUUAGCUAGUUGGUAGGGUAAAAGCCUACCAAGGCGACGAUCCAUAGCUUGUCUGAGAGGAUGAUCAGCCACACUGGGACUGAGACACGGCCCAGACUCCUACGGGAGGCAGCAGUGGGGAAUAUUGGACCGUGGGCGAAAGCCUGAUCCAGCAAUGCCGCGUGAGUGAUGAAGGCCUUAGGGUUGUAAAGCUCUUUUACCCGGGAUGAUAAUGACAGUACCGGGAGAAUAAGCUCCGGCUAACUCCGUG
rnacentral:rRNA from 1 species